UCUCAUUUUUCAACCAAAAAAUCCAACCUUUCAGUCAUCCACAAUCAACUUAUUAUUCGGGUUCUCGAGUUGCAUCUUUUGUGUGAAAGAAUGAUUGGUCUUCUUUCGCGACAUCGACCAUUGGAUCUUAUCAUGCACAUAUCUCAAAGCAUCCAAGUUCGUUCAUUCAUCGCCUGCAUAGAUCUUGAAGUGGCAAUUGUGCAACCC
rnacentral:lncRNA from 1 species